rnacentral:rRNA from 1 species
UACGGAGGGUGCAAGCGUUAUCCGGAUUCACUGGGUUUAAAGGGAGCGCAGGCGGAUUGGUAAGUCAGUGGUGAAAGGCUUGAGCUUAACUCGGGAAUUGCCAUUGAUACUAUCAGUCUUGAAUAUUGUUGAGGUUGCGGAAUGGGUCAUGUAGCGGUGAAAUGCAUAGAUAUGACCCGGAACACCUAUUGCGAAGGCAGCAGGCUAAACAAAGAUUGACGCUGAGGCUCGAAAGCGUGGGGAUCAAACAGG